rnacentral:tmRNA from 1 species
GGGGAUGCACUGGUUUCGACGGGGAGACCAAAGUUUAAGAUGCAUGUCGUGCCUGAAUGAUGCACGUAAAUCUUUAAUUCAAUUUGUUAUAGUUGCAAACGACGAUAACUACGCUCUAGCGGCUUAAUCCCGCUAGCGCAGACUAGGUCAGCUGUUCGUGGCUCCUAGCUCUGUGUCGACUUACGCGAAAUCGCCAGUUCCUGUGUGUUUGGAUAGGAACAGCUAAAACUUACAAACUCGCCUUGUGUGAUCUCUGUUGACCGAGUAGCAUUAAGGUUAAAUUAAAUGGUCAAAUAAACAUGUAGAUUUUUAAAUGGAGGCUCUUCGGACGGCGGUUCGACUCCGCCCAUCUCCACCA